CCCUUAGAUGUUCUGGGCCGCACACGCGCUACACUGAAGGAGGCAGCGUGUACUCCUGGAUCGAAAGAUUUGGGUAACCCGCGAAUCUCCUUCGUGCUAGGGAUUGAGGUUUGCAAUUAUCCUUCAUGAACGAGGAAUUCCCAGUAAGUGCAAGUCAUAAGCUUGCGCUGACUACGUCCCUGCCCUUUGUACACACCGCCCGUCGCUACUACCGAUUGAAUGAUUUAGUGAGGACUUUGGACUGGGACCGAUGCGGCUUUCGGGCUGCGCCGGUAUUCUGGAAAGAUGUCCAAACUGUAUCAUUUAGAGGAAGUAAAAGUCGUAACA
rnacentral:rRNA from 1 species